UACGUAGGGUGCGAGCGUUAAUCGGAAUUACUGGGCGUAAAGCGUGCGCAGGCGGCGCGUUAAGACAGGUGUGAAAGCCCCGAGCUUACUUGGGAAUUGCGCUUGUGACUGGCGUGCUGGAGUGUGGCAGAGGGAGGUGGAAUUCCGACGUGUAGCAGUGAAAUGCGUAGAGAUGAUGGAGGAACACCGAUGGCGAAGGCAGCCUCCUGGGCCAACACUGACGCUCAUGCACGAAAGCCGUGGGGAGCAAACAGGA
rnacentral:rRNA from 1 species